AGGUGAGCCGGGACAGCCUUCUUCCUCCGCCCAGCCGCCACAGUAAUUUGUCGUCAAGUCUGCCACAGGAGGAUAUUUUAUUCUGGGUUAACCUGCUUUUAUCCUUCGCAGGUUGUUUAUCCAUGUUUGUGUAAUUUUAAUUACUCCUAGAAUUUCCGCAUGUGUUAGCAGUAUUUAUUUGAAUUUGGUCUGUAAUAUUUUUAUCAUGUUGGACCUGUAAACUUAAAUAUGUUAUGCAUGUUGAUGGAUUGGAUGAGGGAGCUGAGCUCCCAUUUAUUUUAUGUUGAUGAGUAUGUGGAGGGUGAGCUGAGCUCCCCAAUUGAGUA